GAGGGUAUAGCUCAGUGGUAGAGCACAUGCCUAGCAUGCAGGAGGUCCUGGGCUCAACCCCCAGUACCUACA
rnacentral:tRNA from 1 species